GGGUCAGUAGGUUCGUCGUGCCACCGGUACGUACUGGUCUCACUGAUUCCUCCUUCCUGAAGAACCGUUAUGCCAUUAAUUUGGUGUUGCGGGGAAACAGGACUGUUACUUUGAAAAAUUAGAGUGUUUAAAGCAAGCUAACGCUUGAAUACAUUAGCAUGGAAUAAUGAAAUAGGACGAUCGAUCCUAUUUUGUUGGUUUCUAGGAUUGACGUA
rnacentral:rRNA from 1 species